CAAACGGAGAGUUUGAUCCUGGCUCAGGAUAAACGCUGGCGGCGUGCCUUACGCAUGCAAGUCGAACGAAGCUCCUUCCUUCGGGGAGGAUGACUGAGUGGCAAACGGCUGAGUAACGCGUAGGUGACCUGCCCCGAGGUGGGGAACAACCCGUCGAAAGGCGAGCUAAUGCCCCAUGUGCUCGCGGGAUCGGCCCCGCGAGGAAAGCUCCGGCGCCUUGGGAGGGGCCUGCGUCCGAUUAGUUGGUUGGUGGGGUAACGGCCUACCAAGACGACCAUCGGUAGCUGGUCUGAGAGGAUGAUCAGCCAGACUGGGACUGAGACACGGCCCAGACUCCUACGGGAGGCAGCAGCGAGGAAUCUUGCGCAAUGGGCGAAAGCCUGACGCAGCAACGCCGCGUGGGUGAAGAAGGCCCUCGGGUCGUAAAGCCCUUUUGCCGGGGAAGAACCCUGACGGUACCCGGCGAAUAAGCCACGGCUAACUACGUGCCAGCAGCCGCGGUAAUACGUAGGUGGCGAGCGUUAUCCGGAUUUACUGGGCGUAAAGCGUACGUAGGCGGUUCGGCAAGUCUGUCGUGAAAUCUCCCGGCUCAACUGGGAGGGGUCGAUGGAAACUGCCGGACUUGAGGGACGUAGAGGUGAGCGGAAUUCCCGGUGUAGUGGUGAAAUGCGUAGAUAUCGGGAGGAACACCAGUGGCGAAAGCGGCUCACCAGGCGUCACCUGACGCUGAGGUACGAAAGCGUGGGGAGCGAACCGGAUUAGAUACCCGGGUAGUCCACGCCGUAAACGAUGGAUGCU
rnacentral:rRNA from 1 species